GUUUAUCUUCAGGGCAGGGUGUAAAUCCCGACCGGCGGUGAUAGUCCGCGACUCCUCUUAGACCGAAUCGGUGAAAUUCCGAUACCGACAGUAUAGUCUGGAUGAAAGAAGAUAGGU
rnacentral:ncRNA from 2 species